GACGAACGCUGGCGGCGUGCUUAACACAUGCAAGUCGAACGGAAAGGCCCUGCUUUUGUGGGGUGCUCGAGUGGCGCACGGGUGAGUAACACGUGAGUAACCUGCCCUUUACUUUGGGAUAACUUCAGUAAACUUGGGCUAAUACCGGAUAUUAGCUCCUGCUGCAUGGUGUGGUUUGGAAAGUUUCGGCGGUUGGGGAUGGACUCGCGGCUUAUCAGCUUGUUGGUGGGGUAGUGGCUUACCAAGGCUUUGACGGGUAGCCGGCCUGAGAGGGUGACCGGCCACAUUGGGACUGAGAUACGGCCCAGAAUCAUACGGGAGGCAGCAGUGGGGAAUAUUGCACAAUGGGCGGAAGCCUGAUGCAGCAACGCCGCGUGCGGGAUGACGGCCUUCGGGUUGUAAACCGCUUUCGCCUGUGACGAAGCGUGAGUGACGGUAAUGGGUAAAGAAGCACCGGCUAACUACGUG
rnacentral:rRNA from 1 species